AGAGUUUGAUCCUGGCUCAGAUUGAACGCUGGCGGCAGGCCUAACACAUGCAAGUCGAGCGGAAACGAUCCUAGCUUGCUAGGAGGCGUCGAGCGGCGGACGGGUGAGUAAUGCAUAGGAAUCUGCCCGGUAGUGGGGGAUAACUUGAGGAAACUCAAGCUAAUACCGCAUACGCCCUACGGGGGAAAGCAGGGGCUCUUCGGACCUUGCGCUAUCGGAUGAGCUUAUGUCGGAUUAGCUGGUUGGUGAGGUAACGGCUCACCAAGGCGACGAUCCGUAGCUGGUCUGAGAGGAUGAUCAGCCACAUCGGGACUGAGACACGGCCCGAACUCCUACGGGAGGCAGCAGUGGGGAAUAUUGGACAAUGGGGGCAACCCUGAUCCAGCCAUGCCGCGUGUGUGAAGAAGGCCCUCGGGUUGUAAAGCACUUUCAGCGAGGAAGAAUGCUUGUCGGUUAAUACCCGGCAAGGGAGACAUCACUCGCAGAAGAAGCACCGGCUAACUCCGUGCCAGCAGCCGCGGUAAUACGGAGGGUGCGAGCGUUAAUCGGAAUUACUGGGCGUAAAGCGUGCGUAGGCGGCUUGAUAAGCCGGUUGUGAAAGCCCCGGGCUCAACCUGGGAACGGCAUCCGGAACUGUUAGGCUAGAGUGCAGGAGAGGAAGGUAGAAUUCCCGGUGUAGCGGUGAAAUGCGUAGAGAUCGGGAGGAAUACCAGGGGAAGNGC
rnacentral:rRNA from 2 species